rnacentral:sRNA from 1 species
UGGGAAGUGCUGCUCUAACUGGUCAGCCAUUGAGCUCCAAAGAUAGCCCCAAUGCAAGUCGAUGAACUGGCCCCCAGCAGACGGGCAGGGGCUUCAGUCUUGCCCUCCAGGGAGUCUCCCCACAUGGCAGCAUCUCUACUGUUCACAGCUCUCCCCCUCUUACCCAUGACCCUUUCACUGAGACACUGCAGCCCACCACCAUUCACGGUCACGAUGUCACACCAGGGCACUCCUCACACUCUCCAGAGCCCCUCCACCCAGGGUAACUCACCACGUAGGAGGGAGAGGAGCCCACUUCAUGUGGGAAGACGUGGAGACAGGAGAAAAGUGCACCUAAGCUGGCAUCUGGCAGAGCCAGGGCUCCAGCAGACAUCUCUCAAGUCCGGGUCUUGAAGAGAGAGUCGUGGUAGGAUGGAUCUUUCCAGAAGCGGUGGGUGGGCCGUUCACAUCCACGUGAAUGGGCCCAAAAGGCAAGAGACCCACACCUCUCUUCCCCUCCCCAGUGGCUGUGGCUUUCCUAGGGACAAUAGGAUGAAUGGGCUUUCAGUGUGGGGACAGCAAAAUACGCACUAGGGCCCAGAGUGGCAGUUGUUCUCUUGGUGUGGAGAGUGCCUGCCACGGGCCUUGGCCAGAGCCUGUGAGGGAGUGGUGUGUGAAAGGCCACCUCCACGUGGGUAAGCGUGAGGACUUGGACUUCCAGCACUGAGAUGGGACCUCCUGCCUGUGGGAGUCAUCUGGCAACCUCCCUGGGGCCAGGAAAGGUUGGAGCUAGAAGGGUUGUCCUCCCUGACUUGAGCUCUGAGGGCUUUGCCUGCCGAGCCAGAGCGGCAAGGCACAGGGGACCCUCGGGGACGCCCAUGGCCACCCUGGGGAAGACAGGGCUCCUCGCGCGUUCUGCUUUAAUAAGGCCCGUGUGUCCUACCAGUGAGCCUCUCACAUGAAAGGGGCUAAAAAUAGCACAGGGUACCCCAGCUCCUUCCGCAACAAAACUGUCCACUGGGUGGGUGCUGGACAGUGCUGCCUCAGGAAGGUGAGCGCAGCCCACACUGGCCACACAAGCCACGCCCUGCUGUCUCGGUUUCCAGGUGAUCUCAAACCCUGAGUGCCCUACGUAGCUACAGGGGUUCCGGUUACUGAAAGGGGCCACCUGGGAAGGAUCCUGCCCUGCUCUUGUCCAUUUACCCAAAAAGCCAAAGGCUGCCAGGUGGCUCAGAGGAUCCUCUCCUCCAGGUGUGCUCCCUCCCACCUGCUGAAGCUGAGGCACUGGAGAUGUUGCCUGGCACGUUCUACCCAGGUGACAGGACCCCACUCUGUCCCUGUCUCCGUGCCCUCUUCAAGGGACCCCUUCCAAGUGCCUCAGUGGCCACCCUCCCGAGGGUCCCCCUGGCCCUGUCCCCCAGCACAAGCAGGUCCCCCAGCUCCUCUGUCCCAGUUCAGGUGAGUGGGCUGACGUGGUGUGCUCUGGUGUCUCCAACUUUGCUCUGGCUCCUUUCUCCCCCUCCCCCACCCUGGCAUGGCAAAUCAUUUGUUCACUGCCAGUGCAUCUGCCACUAGACACUCCGGCAUGGUUUGGGCGUCUCCCUCGCCUUCCUUGGUGAUCUGCAGCCAGCUGCCCUGACUCAGUGACCUGCCUUGUGAUGGUUUUCUCUGUGUUGCUGUUUCAGAAGCCCGGAGAUCAUGAGCACCAUCUCAGGUACACGGAGCACGACGGUCACCUUCACUGUUCGCCCCGGCACCUCCCAGCCCAUCACCCUGCAGAGCCGGCCCCCCGACUAUGAAAGCAGGACCUCAGGAACAAGACGUGCCCCAAGCCCUGUGGUCUCGCCAACAGAGAUGAACAAAGAGACCCUGCCCGCCCCCCUGUCUGCUGCCACCGCCUCUCCUUCUCCCACUCUCUCAGAUGUCUUUAGCCUUCCAAGCCAGCCCCCUUCUGGGGAUCUAUUUGGCUUGAACCCAGCGGGACGCAGUAGGUCGCCAUCCCCCUCGAUACUGCAACAGCCAAUCUCAAAUAAGCCUUUUACAACUAAACCUGUCCACCUGUGGACUAAACCAGAUGUGGCCGAUUGGCUGGAAAGUCUAAACUUGGGUGAACAUAAAGAGGCCUUCAUGGACAAUGAGAUCGAUGGCAGUCACUUACCAAACCUGCAGAAGGAGGACCUCAUCGAUCUUGGGGUGACUCGAGUCGGGCACAGAAUGAACAUAGAAAGGGCUUUGAAACAGCUGCUGGACAGAUAAGGACGGCUGCUCUCCACCUCGCAGACUGCUCUUGUUAUAAGUAGAGAUGGGCUCGUGCUGAAACAUCUGAAUGCCAAGCGAAGUCUGUGAGCAUCAACCCCACUCCAUGGGUUUGUCUCCUGGUACCCAAAGAAAUACUGAGUUGUGUCCACAACAUGGCUGGGUCUUCAGACCCCUGGCUCACCAUGUGGGUGUCUUGGGCAGUUUCUAUCAAACAUGGGACAAGGGGAGAGAGUUUUUCUAACAUGGAAAAAGAUUCCCAGCCUGCCGCCCAGCAUGCACGUGGCCUCGCUUUGCCGGGUCCGAGAGGCUCCCCGUCAAUUUUGCACGGGAUCCUAGCUCUUGUAGGCAGACACCAGUGCACUCUAGAUACCUCCUGAGACCUCCGUCCUCUGCUUUCCGGGCAGCUCUCACCACCCCAGGCCCCGGCACGAGGCCUUUCCUCAGUCCUGUGGCCUCUCGGAGGACACCUGAUGCUCACCUGUCCCUCUUUCUCCUGCACUUGGCUUGCAGUGAGAUGCUCCCAGACGCAUUGUCCAGUGCCCCAUCAUGGGCCUGAAAGGCAGAGAAACUUCUUCCUACACAGAUUCUUUUCCCCAUCUCCUCCUGUGGUUUGCAUCCAUGGCUCCUUGGCCAUGAGGUUCCUGGCAGUGCUGGGAGUUUGGAUGGGAUCGUGCCCGGCUUUGCUUAGCUUUCUUUAUUUCUGCAAAUCUGUUAGCAUAAUUCCAAGGUGGCCAAGCAGAUGUCACAUGGAGUUAGUCAAAGCACAAAGUCACGAUUCCACAAUGGAGGGGAGACCUGGCCAAGGGAGCCAGCCAGCGUGCAGCUGCCCAAGCUCCAGGUCUCCAGGACAAGAGCAGUUGUCUGCCAGGAGCACCCAUCCAGGAUGGAGAAUAAGGGCUUCUCUGCCUCUCAGAAUUCUUUUUAAUUGAAGAUGUCUUGAGCUCUGCAAAGAUCAGAGCAGGUGAGCAUCCACUUUGACAUGAAGGACAAGAAGACGCAUGGCUCAUGGCAGACACACGCAGCUGCCAGUGAGACAGCGUCUCCUCUGGGAGCUGGGCGGGCACAGCAUCCUCAGUUCUGUGCCCAGCCAAGGGUGAGCAUCUCUGCUGAGACAGUCCUUUUGCUCUCGGAGGCCAGGGAAGAUGGUACUUAGAGGCUUUUCCCCAUCGCUCUGGGUGUCUAGGAAUCCCACCAGCUUGUCUUAACAGUACAACAGCUUCUUUGAGGACCCAGUGGGUAUGGAGUAGAGACAGAACCCAGGGUUGAGAACAGAAGGUGGGCGGCAGGAUCAGAGUGAAAGCAGAGGCGUGAGGAGAGGAAAGCAGGGAGGUCUCCUGGGCUGCCAGGUCAGCCUCUCUGGCAAGGCUUUCUUGAGCCCCGCCCCUUUCUUUCCCCGGAGUCCCUCCACCCCAUAACAAUACCUCGAAUUUCCAAAAGAGGUCACCAGACGCACAUGGGCCGCAACACACACAGUCAGGCUUCCAGCACAUUCUCCCCCAUUUGGAGGAUACUCGAAUGUCAGGUUUUUGGUUUUAUUAUGAUUUCAGAACUAGCUCAGCCCAUCUCUAAUUAUAAAACAUGGUUUUGUUUUGUUUUGUUUUUUCCUUUUUUUCUUGAUUAGGUCUGGAACAGCUCUAGAAUGAACACAUAAAAUUUAGCAAUUUAAAAUCUCUUUCUUUACUGCAAGUUUAAAUAGUUGUACAGAUAGUUUAUAAGCACAAUAUUUUAAGAAAAAAAAGUGGCUGGUCUACUAGGCAGCCUUUGUGCCACUUCAGUGCUAGAAAGUUAAAGAAAAAAAAAACUUUUGUGAUUUAAUAAUACUAUUUCUGUGGAAUAAUUAUAAAAGUAUGACCUUUUUAAAUCAACCUUAUUUGGAUGCAUCUGAACCAGCAGAGCUGUGUUAUAUUUUCUAUCUUUGCUAGAACUUCGUCAUUGAAGGACAAUUUCUUCAAAGUGGUUACAAUUCAUAAUGCAGCAGUUUCUCCAAAAACAAAAACAAAACACACACCACACACACGUGCUUUUCCAGUCACACACUCCUGAUCUGGAAACCAAGUUUUUGGACCUUCUGUUCCAAAACCUUUUGCAGGUCAACCUUUGUAUUUGAAAUUAUCCAAUCCAACUUGAAAUCAAUUGAAUAUUAAGGCGCUUUACUUCCGUGUGCUUUCAGUUUUUCCAUCAUGAGAUGAAUGAGCAUUACUCUAGAUAAAUUUCAAGACAGGAUACUAUAGGUGGCCUGCUGAGGCUGCCCCAUAUUUUAGAAAAUGUAAAAAUGGUGGUUUGGCCAUUAAUUUGUCUUCCAUUUGAUGAUACCGCAAAAUUCCGUGAAUCCAUUCCUUUGGCAUGGCGCUUUCCCUGGGCCUACAGUUGGUAUUACCUCUGUGCUCAGUGCCAGGCAAAACACUAGCUCAAAGGAGAGUCAAGGAAACCGCUGGCAGACGAUAACCAGUCGCAACUCGGUGACUUCGGUUUGUUGAACUUUGGCAGCCAGUUGGUGAGGGCCAGAUGUUAUUCCCUUUCUUAAAGAUACUCCAAGCCACAUGCCACUAACCACAAGCAAGCUGGCUGCAAGACUAAAGAGUGGAUAACAUAGUUUAUUUUUACAUUGUCUUAUUAUAGAGAAGUAAUAGACCUAUCAGAACCUGCACUGACCAACAAAUAAACACAUGUUGCCAAGAUGAAUCGGUCUCUAUCUCUAUUUGCUUAUUUUGGUACUGAAAGCAAUAGUUCCUCAUUCAAAUCACCACCCACUGUUCUCCCCCUUUGGGACAUGUUAGGACCAGGCCCUAUUCCAUGCCCCUCUUUAAUGGUGGAACAAAUGUUAAACUGCUCAUCUAAAGAUCAUGUUGAUAUUAUUCCAGGUUUUAAGAUCAACUUUUGUUACAUACUGUAAUUUAAAUAAACUGCAUUUACAUGCCUAGUUUCUGUAAUAUUGUGUAUACAAAACCCAAAUCUCUCAAAAUGUAAAUUAUGUAUACCUGCCAAGAUACCUUUUCCAGGGUGUCUGCGCACAUUUUAAGUUAAUUCACAUAAUAUAAAAAUUACUCAAUGUGACUGUUGAUUUGCUGAACUUUACAUAUCACAAAGUGAAUUAUUUGUGAUACUUUAGUUAAUAAAAUGGUAAAUUUUUUUCUCAGUUAUUGAACAAGCAAGCAUUAUCCAGUUGAUCUGGCAAUGACUUUUUGUGUGUGGGCCACAAUAUUGAUUUUCCCAUUAACAAUUUUUUUUUUGUUUUUUAAAUACUAAUAUGUUUCACACUAUAGUUUGUGUAACAACACGUGUUCGCAUUAUCUAUGUUGCUGUUACUUUUGUGCUUUUAUUCUUUUUAGACUUUAUAAAAAAAAAAAGCUCCUGUAAUUUGCACUUUCUCCCAAUCCUUAAAUCUCUUGUAUGGCAACCAAAAUUACUGUAAAAAAAUAAAUAUACUAUUGCACUAA